AGUAAACUUCUCGGACUUCGGCAAACACGACUGCAUUCCUCUUCCCCAGCUCUUCCCACCUGGCCCCAUGAAAAUCAGCAUGCGGAGAAGCAGGCAUCCGCAGAGAAUGUGAGAUGGCUGCCUUGAGCCUCCCUCGC
rnacentral:lncRNA from 11 species